UACGUAGGGUGCAAGCGUUGUCCGGAAUUAUUGGGCGUAAAGAGCUCGUAGGCGGUUUGUCGCGUCUGCUGUGAAAACUCGGGGCUUAACCCCGGGCCUGCAGUGGGUACGGGCAGACUAGAGUGCGGUAGGGGAGACUGGAAUUCCUGGUGUAGCGGUGAAAUGCGCAGAUAUCGGGAGGAACACCGGUGGCGAAGGCGGGACUCUGGGCCGAUACUGACGCUGAGGAGCGAAAGCGUGGGGAGCAAACAGG
rnacentral:rRNA from 1 species